CAGCAGAAGAGCUCACAAUUUUUACUUUCUUAUUUCAGUGGGCAAGUAACUCGAUUCACAGUUUUGUGUGAGCAAUAUCAACCGAGUUUAAAGAGAGAUCCAUCCUAUAGAGAGUAUUUAGACAGAAUUGGACAGCUAUUUUUCAAUCUUCCUGCACCUCGUCCCCAGCAAGGACCAGGGGGCAUAUUUGGUAAUUUGAUCCAGGGUCUCCUUGGUGGAGGGCUUGGUGAUGAUGACUCAGAUGAUGAUGGAAUCUCCAGUGGCCCUUCAACCUCACGACAACCACUGGCUGCUGAGGAGCUGGACUAAUGUUGUGUCUCAGUAGGAUUGUUGGGUGCUUAGGGUUAGUGCUAUUGUGAGAAUAUAAUACUGACUCACAUCAGCAGUUGAAAUUAAAUAUGUAAUUAUUUAUUUUUUUGAUUAUUAUUCCCCCGCCCCCCUCUUUUUUUUGUCUUCUGCUGUUCCUCACUCCUUCUCAUAAUUGUUCCUCCCCUUCCCUGUACCCCUGUUAUGUUUUGGAUGUUUAAGGAGAAUGUCAAACUCUGAUGUCAAUUUUAGCACUUGAGUGUUUUUCCUCUCCCUUUUGGUGUGUGUUACUGAUUUGAAAUUUGUACUUUUCACUGGUGUUGUUUCAGGAAACGGAGAAGAGCGACAUAAUUAAAUCUCCAUUUUUGGCCUGUCCAUGUACUUUUCAAUAGUCAUAGGAGGUAGAUUUUUAUUUUAUAUCAGUUUUUGCGCUGUUAUAAGAAUCAUGAGAAUUUGUAAAUAGCCAGAGAUGUUAUGUAGGCACCAUAGAUUUUGCUACCGAGACCACCAGUGUAUAGAUUAGUGUGAAAUUGGUUGAUGAGUUUAUUAGGUGUAAGUGGAAACAUUUGUAAUAUAUUGUAUAGUAUAAAAUCCACAUAGAUUAAUGUUGAGAGCUCUACCCAAAAAUCUGUGACCAGCAAUAUCUCAAUAGUAAAAUAUAUGUGAAGGACUGAACUUGAUAAUUUUCAAUUUUGUAUUAUUAGAGUAUUGAUGAAGUUAAUAUCUGACAUAUUAAACAAAGCAGAACACAAGGAGAGGAAGUGAGUAUUGAAGCAAGUUAUAGAAUUCUAAUGCAGAUGCAUAUUACAAACUGUUAGUGGAAUACUUGAAAAUUUCAUGUUGGUCUGAUUGUGUAAAAUCAGUGAAAGACUCAUUAUGCCUAGAUGUGGUUAAAUUCUUCAAUUUAUAUCUCAACUUUAUAAUGAGAGUAAAUUUCUCUGGCUUGUUUUGAAAUUUGCACCUCAGGGAAUAGCAUCUCGGAAAUAAUAUAUGUAUGUACUGCCAUGGUUUUAUCUUUCACCUGAUGGGAUUGAUAGCAGUUGUUGCAUUUAAGUUUUGUAGCUUGAGAAUAAUUGAAUUGUGAUACCCAGAGACUUGAGUACACCAAAUAGAGUUAUCCUUAAGGUAAGCAGUUUCUCUUUAUAGCUUUACAGUUAAACCAAACACUCAAGUAUAUGGCACAUCUAGGCAGUGAUUAAAUGUAUACUGUUUCUGGAAAUAUAAAUGAUUAUCUACUGAUGAGCAUUAAAAUAUCAAUCAGGUCUCCAUA
rnacentral:lncRNA from 1 species